AACGAACGCUGGCGGCAUGCCUAACACAUGCAAGUCGAACGAAGGCUUCGGCCUUAGUGGCGCACGGGUGAGUAACACGUGGGAAUCUGCCUUUCGGUUCGGGAUAACGUCUGGAAACGGACGCUAACACCGGAUACGCCCUUUGGGGGAAAGUUUACGCCGAGAGAGGAGCCCGCGUCCGAUUAGGUAGUUGGUGAGGUAAUGGCUCACCAAGCCAUCGAUCGGUAGCUGGUCUGAGAGGAUGAUCAGCCACACGGGGACUGAGACACGGCCCCGACUCCUACGGGAGGCAGCAGCAAGGAAUCUUCCGCAAUGGGCGAAAGCCUGACGGAGCAACGCCGCGUGUGGGAUGACGCCUUUCGGGGUGUAAACCACUUUUCUCGGGGAAGAACUUUGACGGUACCCGAGGAAUAAGGACCGGCUAACUACGUGCCAGCCGCCGCCGUAA
rnacentral:rRNA from 1 species